UACAGAGGUGGCAAGCGUUGUUCGGAAUUACUGGGCGUAAAGGGCGAGUAGGUGGCCAUCUAAGUCAGACGUGAAAUCCCCCGGCUUAACCUGGGAACUGCGUCUGAUACUGGACGGCUUGAGUAUGGGAGAGGAACGUAGAAUUCCAGGUGUAGCGGUGAAAUGCGUAGAUAUCUGGAGGAAUACCGGUGGCGAAGGCGGCGUUCUGGACCAUUACUGACGCUGAACCGCGAAAGCUAGGGGAGCAAACGGG
rnacentral:rRNA from 1 species